rnacentral:rRNA from 1 species
AUUGAACGCUGGCGGUAGGCCUAACACAUGCAAGUCGAGCGGAUGAAGGGAGCUUGCUCCUGGAUUCAGCGGCGGACGGGUGAGUAAUGCCUAGGAAUCUGCCUGGUAGUGGGGGAUAACGUCCGGAAACGGGCGCUAAUACCGCAUACGUCCUGAGGGAGAAAGUGGGGGAUCUUCGGACCUCACGCUAUCAGAUGAGCCUAGGUCGGAUUAGCUAGUUGGUGGGGUAAAGGCCUACCAAGGCGACGAUCCGUAACUGGUCUGAGAGGAUGAUCAGUCACACUGGAACUGAGACACGGUCCAGACUCCUACGGGAGGCAGCAGUGGGGAAUAUUGGACAAUGGGCGAAAGCCUGAUCCAGCCAUGCCGCGUGUGUGAAGAAGGUCCUCGGAUUGUAAAGCACCUUAAGUUGGGAGGAAGGGCAGUAAGUUAAUACCUUGCUGUUUUGACGUUACCAACAGAAUAAGCACCGGCUAACUUCGUG